AUUGAACGCUGGCGGCAUGCUUUACACAUGCAAGUCGAACGGCAGCGCGGGCUUCGGCCUGGCGGCGAGUGGCGAACGGGUGAGUAAUACAUCGGAACGUGCCCAGUAGUGGGGGAUAGCUCGGCGAAAGCCGGAUUAAUACCGCAUACGACCUGAGGGUGAAAGCGGGGGAUCUUCGGACCUCGCGCUAUUGGAGCGGCCGAUGGCAGAUUAGCUAGUUGGUGGGGUAAAGGCCUACCAAGGCGACGAUCUGUAGCUGGUCUGAGAGGACGACCAGCCACACUGGGACUGAGACACGGCCCAGACUCCUACGGGAGGCAGCAGUGGGGAAUUUUGGACAAUGGGCGAAAGCCUGAUACAGCAAUGCCGCGUGUGUGAUGAAGGCCUUCGGGUUGUAAAGCACUUUUGGCGGGAACGAAAAGGACUGUGCCAAUACCACGGUUCGAUGACGGUACCCGAAGAAUAAGCACCGGCUAACUACGUG
rnacentral:rRNA from 1 species